rnacentral:rRNA from 1 species
UACGAAGGGGGCUAGCGUUGUUCGGAAUUACUGGGCGUAAAGCGCACGUAGGCGGGUUGUUAAGUCAGGGGUGAAAUCCUGGAGCUCAACUCCAGAACUGCCUUUGAUACUGGCAACCUAGAGACUGGAAGAGGUUAGUGGAAUUCCCAGUGUAGAGGUGAAAUGCGUAGAUAUUGGGAGGAACACCAGUGGCGAAGGCGGCCACCUGGACCGGAUCUGACGCUGAUGCGCGAAAGCGUGGGUAGCAAACAGG